GACCCUGUAGCACAAGGGCAGCGUGUCUGACUCCGGAUCAGGAGGUUAUGUGGUUGAAUCACACCAGGGUAA
rnacentral:tRNA from 1 species